UACGUAGGGCGCAAGCGUUAUCCGGAAUUAUUGGGCGUAAAGAGCUCGUAGGCGGUCUGUCGCGUCGGGAGUGAAAACUCAGGGCUUAACCCUGAGCCUGCUUCCGAUACGGGCAGACUAGAGGUAUGCAGGGGGAGAACGGAAUUCCUGGUGUAGCGGUGGAAUGCGCAGAUAUCAGGAGGAACACCGGUGGCGAAGGCGGUUCUCUGGGCAUUACCUGACGCUGAGGAGCGAAAGUGUGGGGAGCGAACAGGA
rnacentral:rRNA from 1 species